rnacentral:tRNA from 1 species
GCACCCGUAGCUCAGUGGAUAGAGCAGAAGCGUCCUAAGCUUUGUGUCGGGGGUUCGAUUCUCUCCGGGUGCACCA